ACGAAAUGCAUUUACAUUAACGAGUGUGCUGCUCGUGCAGUCGGUCGGUCGGUCGGGCAUUAAAAACGUGUUAUUUAUUUUUGCAAAAUGACCUUGGCGCGGCGCGGAAAACGGCUAGCGCUGGUUGCAUCUGCCGUGCGAACAAGCGAGCCAGCGAAUAAACGUUGUGGCCUCCAAACCGGAAUAGACUCUGAUGACGCGAAAAGAUUCGCGAUCCGCGCGAGCGUCCCACCAGCUCAGCGCAGUAAUAAUGCUGCAUUACGUAAUUUCCAAGAGAGACACAAAAAGGAACUUGAAAACAAUGUCGAGCAAUACUGUUUCGACUACACGAAAAAAAAAAUGAACAUCUUGUGCUUUACAUGUUAGCGUUAAAUCAGCUAGGAGCGGGAAAACAACAAAAAAUGUCCAAAUGUGUGGUGGAUGAUGUCAUGGCGUCGGCUGUGUUUCACAUUACGUCAUCAAAUUCGCGUUAACUGACGACGGACGCGUCCCUGAUACUUUAUGUGAAGUAUGUGUGGAGACGAGUGGAGACCGUUGAGACGACGCCGACGUUUUGCUCUUGAAAAGGUCACGUGUCCAAAUUUCGUUAAAAAUUGCCCGGCGUAUUUCUUGGUUACCCGUAAUGCAUACAAAAAAAGAACUAGAAAUACAUUGAAGAUAAUCUGUGUAGGCGGUGUAGUAGCGUAGUAAGAAAUUGCAAUAGAGUAGUAUGUACGUAGUUUGUAGAAUGUGCGAGCGCGUAACAACAAAGGGUUUAUUUUUAGCACAUUGGCGAAAUUCGAAAUUGUAUAUAAUUCAGGGUGUCAGUAUGUCACGUCAGUGAAGCGAGUUGCUUAGCAACAGGCGCUUAGCCCGGCCUAUUUUCGGGCUCUAUUGAUCCGACCCAGCUCUCCUUCACUUGGGGUUAAACUCAGAGUCGGACUCGUCGGUGAACACAUGACGCGCACCCGGCGCGCAUGCCACUCUCCGUCCCUGCUGAUGUGCGUCGUUCAGGAAAGAAAUCGGAAGUGGUUGCACAUAUUAGGUGCCUCUACGAAGUUGUAGGUCUUGCAUGUGUAGCGGACAGUUGUUCAAUACUUACGAAGGAGGUCCCGUGUGUAUAUCGGUCCGAUGAUAAAAGAUAAAAUUAGAAUUAAAGCAGAGAGGAAAGAAGUGCGGCGUCGUUUUAAUAUUUCAUAGCUUAUUUCAGUAGUGACCCGAUUUUCAGCGGGAUUCUCGUGACAUUAAACAUUAAAACUUAAUAUGUCCGUUAAUCGUGAGUGUUGUAAUCAUUUUCAAAUGGAGAGUAAUCGUUAUCACAUCCUGGCCCGCUCUUAUAAACGAAAUUUAUAGCGCUAUGAUAAAUAAGCAAUAUUACAAGUGCUUUUUUGUGCGGAACGUAACAACGUUUGUUGAUUCGAAACAAAUUCGAAACGUCACGUUUCGGAGCGCAAAACUGAAUCUGCUCUCGGAGCAGCAACGGAUUUCUUUGUUCUCAGCGAACUCGCGAGCUCGCGUUGACUCUUUGUGAUCUUGCAUCACACGCGCUAGUGUGAGCUUUUUAUUCACAUCGAUUUCAUCAAAUUUAGGCCGAGUAGCAGUAAAAAAGUGCAACACGAGUCGCCUGCCGCACAACCACACAAACGCGUGUUUAUGCCAACGGCACUCAUCUAGCUUUCCUCCGAGAACGCCACGAUUGCGCGGUCGAAUAUGAAUGCAUAACACCACGAAACCACGAUUUAUCGGCAAAUGCAUGUGUUGGAUAGACGCUGCUGGAUGCGUGACAUGCGUGUUGCGCUCGUUUGCUGUGUAAUAUUCACAAGGCCUUGGCUCACAUCCAAAGCGCGCUCUCCGUCCACAAGCAUUGCGCCGUGUUCAUAAAUAUUCACUGUAUUCGUUCAUCAUCAUCGAUAUAUCGACAAGCAGUUUGUUAAUUGGUUUCUACUGUAAUUUGUUUUACUAGUAUUUUAGUUUAAAUAAUGAAAUACUGGUGCGCAGCGUUUCUGUACUUGAUUAUUCUGAUGGUUAGUUGAAGACUGGAUAGGUGAAUUUGUCGCAACGUCCUAAGUUCGAAUAACAACAUAAAAUAGCACGCCAUCUUCACGAAUAAAGCUGAACAAAAACUUCGAUUUCAUGCUGAAAGACAGGGACGAACUAAAA